ensembl:ncRNA K03C7.15 ncRNA
GCCACAACGUUUCAAAUUGCUUGCCUGCGGGUGCAUACAUGCCUGACUGAAUGCAAAACAAACACACAAAAACAGAUGGAAGGAAAUAGGGCGAGAGCCAGGAAAAAUGAGCCCCGGCCGCCCGGGUCGGACUACAUGGUC